rnacentral:rRNA from 1 species
GAUGAACGCUGGCGGCGUGCCUAAUACAUGCAAGUCGAGCGAACAGACGAGGAGCUUGCUCCUCUGACGUUAGCGGCGGACGGGUGAGUAACACGUGGAUAACCUACCUAUAAGACUGGGAUAACUUCGGGAAACCGGAGCUAAUACCGGAUAAUAUAUUGAACCGCAUGGUUCAAUAGUGAAAGACGGUUUUGCUGUCACUUAUAGAUGGAUCCGCGCCGCAUUAGCUAGUUGGUAAGGUAACGGCUUACCAAGGCAACGAUGCGUAGCCGACCUGAGAGGGUGAUCGGCCACACUGGAACUGAGACCAGGUCCAGACUCCUAAGGGAGGCAGCAGUAGGGAAUCUUCCGCAAUGGGCGAAAGCUUGACGGAGCAACGCCGCGUGAGUGAUGAAGGUCUUCGGAUCGUAAAACUCUGUUAUUAGGGAAGAACAAAUGUGUAAGUAACUAUGCACGUCUUGACGGUACCUAAUCAGAAAGCCACGGCUAACUACGUG